rnacentral:rRNA from 1 species
GACGAACGCUGGCGGCGUGCCUAAUACAUGCAAGUCGAGCGCAGGAAGCCGUCUGAACCCUUCGGGGGGACGACGGUGGAAUGAGCGGCGGACGGGUGAGUAACACGUAAAGAACCUGCCCAUAGGUCUGGGAUAACCACGAGAAAUCGGGGCUAAUACCGGAUGUGUCAUCGGACCGCAUGGUCCGCUGAUGAAAGGCGCUCCGGCGUCCCCCAUGGAUGGCUUUGCGGUGCAUUAGCUAGUUGGUGGGGUAACGGCCCACCAAGGCGACGAUGCAUAGCCGACCUGAGAGGGUGAUCGGCCACACUGGGACUGAGAAACGGCCCAGACUCCUACGGGAGGCAGCAGUAGGGAAUCUUCCACAAUGGACGAAAGUCUGAUGGAGCAACGCCGCGUGAACGAUGAAGGCUUUCGGGUCGUAAAGUUCUGUUGUAAGGGAAGAACAAGUGCCGCAGGCAAUGGCGGCACCUUGACGGUACCUUGCGAGAAAGCCACGGCUAACUACGUACCAGCAGCCGCAGUAAUAC